GUGCACUAAUUAGCAUUAUGUGCACAAAAAUUGCUAACUUGUGUUCUCAAAACGAUACUUUGUGUUUACAAAAUACUAACGUGUGAACACAAAGUACUCCUUUGUGUACAUUAAUUAGCAUUUUGUGCUAAAAAAUGCAAACCUGUAUCUACAAAAUCCUAACUUGUGCCCACAAAAAAGCAAUUUUUGCACACAAUAUACUUAUUUGUGCACAAAAAUGAGUAUUUUAUGCAUAAUAAUUUCUCAUUUGAAUGCACAAGAUACUAACUUGUGGGCACAUAAUACAAAUCUGCCCUCAGUUUCAAAAAAGGUUGGUGACCCCCGAGCUAGAGUUUUAAUCCACAUAAGAGUGAUUUUCAAAUGUUGUCGUGCACAAUUAGUAAAAUAAAUAAAUAAAAUAGUUAAAAAAAUAAAAAUACAACAAAACCCAGCUUAUCAGUGCCAGUUUUUAGUUUUAUAAUUAGGAAAGAUACAUAAUAGCAAGCACAACCUCGUGCUAGCAAAAAAAAAAAAAAAAGGUGAAAAGGUCUUAUUAUAUUACACAGAUAUAAAAACAAGAUCUGUUGAUGGAGGACACAAAUUUGGAGCUGUAAAGCUUUUGUUAAAAUCCCUUCAGUAGCUGGAUAGCUAGACAUUUGCCCCUGAAAGACAAUGACUCCCUUUCAGCUGUAGGGGGCAGCAGGGCAGCAUUGCACGGGACAGUCAAUACAAAGUCAACGAAGAAGAAGAAGCGGCAGCAGAAGAAGAAGAAGAAGCGGCGGGCAGCAGAGACGGGUGAGCACGUGAGAGUGAACGGUGAUCUUGGGAUUUCAGCUCUUUGUAAAAACGGAGCUGUUUUUCCUUUAAGAUUGAUGUAUUGCUACAGUGAAAUUCCAUUCACGGACAGUACCUGGAUACUUAAAGAACCCUGACUUAUUAUGAGCAUCAGAACCAAAACCAUCAGCUCCUGUCAUCUGUGGUAAUCACUCGGCGCUCAUUCAUCUGAAAAUCUCACCUAAAUGUUUUUAUUGUUGAUUUUUCUCAAGCACAAGUGAUUUUAAAAAGUUCCCAUCCCUGAUGAUCGAGGAUCACACCUGACUCUUUUAGGUUGUAGUCAGUCAUCCUCACUGUUCUGUGGUCAGUUCUGGUCCUCUGUACGAGAACUGAUGAGGAACAUCUUGUGCUGUGGUUUGUGAAAAUUUGUGUGAAUAUUCUCACUCUAAAAACUACCUAAAUAAACAUACAAAAAUCCUA